rnacentral:lncRNA from 1 species
AUGGGGCAGGGAUGGGUGCCCACAGGCUGUCCCCUCUUCUACGAAAGAGCUGGGCUGAGGAGUGGGAAGUCUAUGCAGUCAUCAGGCAGGACUGGGACAGCGGCAGCUGUGAGAACUCGUGCGAAUUCCCUCCAGAGCAGGGCUAGGGGCAGGGGCCCUACCUCUUGCAACACCACCCCCAGCCCCGCCUCACUCAGGACUGUUUGUUCAGAUGCUGGUACCCAUUUCAGGCAACCUGAGCUGAGCAGAUGGUUUCCCGGGAAGGAGGCUGGCUCCGUGCUGGCAGCUGGUGAAGAAUGGGCUUCACCUGUUGAGGUGUGGGGACCCGACCCCUGUGUCCCUGGAAGGUGGGAUGGGUGGAUGCCUGGCUAGUGCAUUGGGGGUCAUCCUAGCAGGCCCUGGGGGAGAACAACCAGUGCCUGGGAAUGGGGUGCCUGCUGGGAAGGAACACAAAUGUGUCCAGAUAAGGCUGAGAUGACAAGUACCUCUCACAGUCUGCUCCCCAGUGUUCCUGGCCAGAAUGUCUCUGCUCACAUCCUAGUUGGGGUCUCAGUCUCCAGUCAGAACAGGAGAGCCAGCUUCCAGGGAGAUCUGAGUUGGCCUGUCCUUCAGGUCAGUGACAGGCAGUGACCCGAGGCCCUUCCACUGCCUCCGGUCCUGGUUCUGUGUGCCUAUCCAUGAUGAAAAAAAGAUGCCCCCUGCAGGCCCCUCUGACCUCCCAUCUCACCAUCCUCUCCGGAGUCCAUCUCAUCUCGGGGAAAGUUGGUCAAGUCAACUCCAGCUCUGAGGGGUUCUUCCUGGGUCCUGAUGUGCCUCCUUCUCUGGGCUACAGUUUGGAGAUGCUGGGCUCCAACCAGGGGCCAGCUCUGCCCAGGGACCUCUCCUAAAAAGAAGAUAGCCUAGUCACUCCUCCUUGAGAUCCCAUGUCUCCCGCGGCCCUCAUCACAGGUCCAGCCACUCGGAUUGGCUUUGUUCUCCUUGCCCACGGGACUGGGAGCUCUGGUAGGACGGAAACCACAUCUGUCUCAGUCACAUUUGGUCCCCAGAUCUGGGCAGCACUGGAUAACAGCUCAGUCAAUGGACUGAUUGCAAAGUACAGAUCCAUUUCCAUUGCUUUAAGGCAAAAUCAUUCGUUGCCUCACACAGAAUGGUCCAUGUGUCCUUCUUUUUCCUGGGCCCUGGUAUGGGCAGUGGGUGGGGAGGGUAUGGACAUUGGCCAGCUUGGUUUCUGCCUUCCCAGAGCUCAGAAUCUUCCUGGAGGACAGGCUUAGGACUAAGGAAACAGAUGCCAUGCCCCUGGGCCCCACAGAAACCUAGAGAGACCCAAGAUAGAUGGGCUGUCAGAGCAUCUGGAUACCGAGUAGUUGGGAGG